rnacentral:rRNA from 1 species
AUGGUUCAACGGCACCUACAAACUGGUUUUGGAAGUAUCUGUGUGUCACGGGGACUCAGCAAUCUCACACCCUUGCGAUCAAGACUAUUUAAGCUUAUGGGUAAGGUAAAGGUAUGA